GACGAACGCUGGCGGCGCGCCUCAUACAUGCAAGUCGAACGUGAAGCCCGGAGCUUGCUCCGGGUGGAAAGUGGCGAACGGGUGAGGAACACGUGAGGAACCUGCCCCGAAGACUGGGAUAACACCGGGAAACCGGUGCUAAUACCGGAUGCCCUCACCGGAUCUCAUGUUCCGGUGAGGAAAUGGAUUCCGCUUCGGGAUGGCCUCGCGGCCUAUCAGCUUGUUGGUGGGGUAACGGCCCACCAAGGCUUCGACGGGUAGCUGGUCUGGGAGGAUGUCCAGCGACACUGGGACUGAGACACGGCCCAGACUCCUACGGGAGGCAGCAGUAGGGAAUCUUGCGCAAUGAGCGAAAGCUUGACGCAGCGACGCCGCGUGCGGGAUGAAGGCCCUCGGGUCGUAAACCGCUUUCAGCAGGGACGAAAUUGACGGUACCUGCAGAAGAAGGCCCGGCCAACUACGUGCCAGCAGCCGCGGUAA
rnacentral:rRNA from 1 species